CUCUUUGGUUAUCUAGCUGUAUGACUUUAUUGAUUCAUAAGGCUAGACGACUAAAGGA
rnacentral:pre_miRNA from 1 species